AAAGAGUUUUUUAGCUCUUUUUUAUUGUAAAAGAUGAGAUUACAUGUAAAUUUUUGUAUAAAAUAAAAUUAUUUUUAAAUAAGAAUAGAUUAAUUAAAAAUGUAUCGCAGUAAGAAAUAUUAUAUAUUUAGGAAACUAAGAUAUAGUUAUGAAUUUUAGUAUAGGCUAAGUUUGUGCCAGCAGUUGCGGUUAUACAGGCUAUACAACAAUAAAUUGUAGGAAAAGUAGUUAAUAUAAACAUAUAUAGGAAUAAAUAAAGAAAUUUAUUAAGUGAAAUUUUAAAUUUUUAUAAUUUUCUUUUUUGAAGCUAAAAAAUUUUUGUAUUAAACUAGGAUUAGAUACCCUAUUAUAAGAAAAGUAAAUUAUAAAAGUCCAAAUUAGUAGUAGUUAUGUUCUUGAAAAUUAAAAGAAUUGGCGGUAUUUUAGUCUAUUCAGAGGAACCUGUCCUGUAAUUGAUAGUCCACGAUUUUAUCUACUUAAUUUUUUAAUUUACAUAUCGCCGUAGAUUGAAUAUUUUUUUAGAAAUAUAAUAUUCAAGAUUUUGAUUAAGAGGAAAUCAGGUCAAGGUGUAGUUUAUGAUUAAGAAGAGAUGGGUUACAUUAAUUUUAAUUAUAUGAAUAAAUUUUUUUAAUAAAAUUUUGAAGGUGGAUUUGAGGGUAAUUUUAAAAAAAUAUUUAAAAUGAUUUUAGCUCUAAAAUAUGUACAUAUCGCCCGUCGCUUUCAUUAUAAAGUGAAAUAAGUCGUAACAUAGUAGAUGUACUGGAAAGUGUCUCUAGAAAGGA
rnacentral:ncRNA from 1 species